AAUUGAUUUAAACUACAGGAAAAGAGAUUCCACCUAAACACUAGGAAGAAUUCCCUGAUGAUCCUUGACAUACUACGGCAAUUUUACUGUAAAGUGAGUAUAACAUGAACCAGACAUAUUCUCAAACAGGACACAAACAGCUCUUCUGCACAAUUUUCUUUAGAUCACUUGGAAAGAUCUGUCUCUUAACAGCAUUAAAACAUUCUUUUGUGGAUUAACUCUUAUGUUUCACUGUGCAAGAGGAUAAUUAGUGAUGGGGAGAAAAAAAGCUAUGAUGCAAGGCCAUCAAGGGAGCCUUCCCCAAAGUCACAGCAGCUUUAUAAUGGAUGAUAUCCAGUCUGGAGUCCAACACUGUCGAAAACCUCUUUUAACAGAGAAAUUUGGGGGCUAAUACAGACAAAUGCAUGAAAAGGAUAACUUUAUGUGUUGAUAAACAGCAAGCAGGUUCUGCAUUAUCAUGGUGGAUUUUUCAUUCUUUUCUAAUAGUAAGACAGGGCAGGGGAAGUGAUCCCACACUACUUGGCAGCCUUUCCAGGUGUAGUGAGUGUUACAGUCCGACUACACCUAGAGGGCUACAUAUUCCCCAGUUCAGGUGUAAGCAAAUGUUGACAAUGCAAUCUGAUUCUAUCAUUUCCUCUGGAAUAUAUAUGUAUGUAUGUAUGUAUGUAUGUAUGUAUCUACAAGGAAGCAGCACUUAUUUACACCAAGGCAAUGCCACAACACAGUCAUGGCUUUCUUUCGCUGUGCCGUAGACUUUUCUGAAAGCAAAUUAAUUGUCCAUGUAAAGUGGUUGCAAACAGAUGUGAUCCAGCCCCUUGUUUUUAACACAACCAUGCCUUUUACAGGAUUUAAAUCAGAGAUAUUUAGCAUCACUUUGGAAAUGUUUAUAAUAGCUAGAUUUUUGCACUUGGUUUGCCCUUGACUAUUUCUUUCAGUGGGCAGCCAUUAACUGAUUUUUGCUUAUGGCCUGAAACUCAGUAAAACAUCACAACAUGCUUUAAGCUCAUCAACAAAAUAUCCUGUCAGACAAAAGCUAUGUGAAAUACAAACAUUUCAGAUAAAUGGUCCAAAAAUGGGUUGGAAUUAUUCAAAUUAUACAUCCUCUUCCCCAACAACACACCAAAUAGUGCAGCUCAGACAAUGGCAGUGAAACAGUUAACAGACAUAUGCUGUAUAAUUAGGAGAUGCAUUAAUGAUUAUGAAUAGUAAAUGAUUUGGUGCAAGGAAAAAAACCUAGUCAAAAGGGACAUACACCUAUCUUACAUGUUUGUUAGUAACUGUAUAUAACUAGAGAUUUCUGCUAUUAAGAAACCUGUAUUAUUGGUGUAAAUACUUCCAAGGGUACAUCAAAUUGUAAUCUUUCAUACGACAUCCAUCAAACCAGGCUGGAGAUUUUGACAAACAUUAAACACAGUAAGGAGGCAAUUAUGUAUGCAUGAUUUAAUCUGCAACUAAUUAAUAUGCAAAUUUAUUCAUAUGUUAGUUACUAAAUUAAAAAUGCAAAGAAGCCCUUAUGGUGAUUCUCAAAAAUUUUGCACAAACAGAACAUUUAAAAUGUAAGAAAAAAUGAAGUUUUUUUUAAAAAAAAAAUCCUACAGCAUACUUUUAGCCUUUUAGAAACCUGUUGCAUGGGGAAGGUUAAAAAUAUUUGCUUUAAUAUUGGAAAAGGACAAUGAAGUACUAAUUUGAUGUUGGAAUACAGUAAUAUAAAGGUUAAACAUUAUUCUGUCUAAGUCUUCUGAGAAGUGAAAUAAUUACUGAGCAGUCUGGAUUCUAAACAUUUCAUAUAACUUGUAAAGAUUCUGGAAUAUACUUUUUUAAAAAGUAUUGGGGGGGGUGUUCCUUCCGUGAACAACUUAGUGCUAAAUUAAACUGUCUCUUUUUAUUUGAAUGAAGACAAUAAUAUUGUCGGUAUAGGCUUACUACUGUUGUGAUGGUGAGCACUUUCUCAUCUAAAUGUACCUUGUAAAAAUGAGAUCCAGAAAACUGGGAGGUGAGGAUAAAGAAAUCUGUGUGGGAAAGAGAGAGGGACAAAAACACUGCCUUUUAAUUCAAUUCCAGAUGCAUCUUGAGUCAGACAAUAAAAGAGACAAAAUGGAAGUAUGCAAAGUAAUUCCUGUGCAUCAGCCCUUUGUAUUCUGUACUGAUCUUAAAAAGCAGUACUUUCUUAUAGGUGAUAGCAGAAUGACAACUAAAUGGUUUGUGUAUCAGAUUUAACCUUUGUAACCCUUGCUGCUAUGUAAUGGUCUUCAGCAUAUUAAAACACAUGUCCCCUUCUGA